rnacentral:rRNA from 1 species
CCGUAAACCUAAAUAUCUAAUCAACAAAGUUAUUCGCCAGAGCACUACAAGCAACAGCUUAAAACUCAAAGGACUUGGCGGUGCUUUAUACCCCACUAGAGGAGCCUGUUCUAUAAUCGAUAAACCCCGAUAAACCUCACCACCCCUUGCUAAUUCAACCUAUAUACCGCCAUCUUCAGCAAACCCUGCUAAGGCAACAAAGUAAGCAAGAGAAUCAUACAUUAAAACGUUAGGUCAAGGUGUAGUCCAUGAGGUGGGAAGAAAUGGGCUACAUUUUCUACCUACCAUAGAGCAAUUAACGCUAGCCCAUAUGAAACAAUUGGCAAAAGGCGGAUUUAGUAGUAAAUUAAGAAUAGAGAGCUUAAUUGAAUAGGGCAAUGAAGC